rnacentral:misc_RNA from 1 species
CGUCGAACUGAUCGAAGAAAUUGCCUUUCGGCUUUGAUUGCGCGCUGAUGUCUGUGGAGCGCGGUACAUCAACGCCGUUCUCAAACUUCGCCAUGGAUGAGGCCACGCGAGCGCGGACACGGAUUGGCAAGAUCAAUUGGCUGGUCGGGAUCAACUCCGAUCUCUUUCGCCACCUUGCUCGCAUAUGCCGAUACUGGGUUCCCAUCGCUCGCCGGAGCCCAGCGAUUGAUAACACCAGAAAUGGUGUUGAUCCCGUGCUUGCUAUGAUACGUUCCGAGCAGGUUUUCGGCU